CGCUCAGGUCCCCUUCCACGCUGUGGAAGCUUUGUUCUUUUGCUCUUUGCAAUCAAUCUUGCUGCUGCUCACUCUUUGUCCACACUGCCUUUAUGAGCUGUAACACUCACUGCGAAGGUCUUCAGCUUCACUCCUGAAGCCAGCGAGACCACGAACCCACCGGGAGGAAUGGAAAACUCCAGACGCGCCACCUUAAGAGCUGUAACACUCACCGCGAAGGUCCGCAGCUUCACUCCUGAGCCACCGAGACCACGAACUCCACCAGAAGGAAGAGACUCCGAACACAUCCGAACAUCAGAAGGAACAAACUCUGGACACGCCGCCUUUAAGAACUGUAACACUCACAGCGAGGGUCCGCGGCUUCAUUCUUGAAGUCAGUGAGACCAAGAACCCACCAAUUCUGGACACACAAUCACGGCUCACCGCAGUCUUGAAUUCCUGGGCUCAAGCAGUCCUCUCACCUCAGCCUUCCGAGUAGCUGGGAUUAAAGGUUAGAUAGUACAGAAAUGUUGGGAGUAAAGAAAAUAGAAACGCCAUUUUCCUACUCCCCUCCAGA
rnacentral:lncRNA from 10 species